UACAGAGGUCCCAAGCGUUGUUCGGAUUUACUGGGCGUAAAGGGUGCGUAGGCGGUCGGGUAAGUCUCAUGUGAAAUCUCUGAGCUCAACUCAGAAAUGGCAUGGGAUACUAUUCGGCUGGAGGAUUGGAAGGGGGACUGGAAUUCCCGGUGUAGCAGUGAAAUGCGUAGAUAUCGGGAGGAACACCAGUGGCGAAGGCGAGUCCCUGGACAAUUCCUGACGCUGAGGCACGAAAGCCAGGGGAGCAAACAGG
rnacentral:misc_RNA from 1 species